rnacentral:rRNA from 1 species
UACGAAGGGGGCUAGCGUUGUUCGGAAUCACUGGGCGUAAAGCGCACGUAGGCGGAUCUUUAAGUCAGGGGUGAAAUCCCGGGGCUCAACCCCGGAACUGCCUUUGAUACUGGUAGUCUCGAGUCCGGAAGAGGUGAGUGGAAUCCGAGUGUAGAGGUGAAAUUCGUAGAUAUUCGGAGGAACACCAGUGGCGAAGGCGGCUCACUGGUCCGGUACUGACGCUGAGGUGCGAAAGCGUGGGGAGCAAACAGGG